GUGAAGAACGCAGCGAAAUGCGAUAAGUAAUGUGAAUUGCAGAAUUCAGUGAAUCAUCGAAUCUUUGAACGCACAUUGCGCCCGCCAGUAUUCUGGCGGGCAUGCCUGUUCGAGCGUCAUUACAACCCUCAGGCCCCCGGGCCUGGCGUUGGGGAUCGGCGGAGCCCCCCGUGGGCACACGCCGUCCCCCAAAUGCAGUGGCGGUCCCGCCGCAGCUUCCAUCGCGUAGUAGCUAACACCUCGCGACUGGAGAGCGGCGCGGCCACGCCGUAAAACACCCAACUCUUCUGAAGUUGACCUCGAAUCAGGUAGGAAUACCCGCUGAACUUAAGCAUAUCAAUAAGCGGAGGA
rnacentral:misc_RNA from 1 species